UGAAACUCACAAUUCAAGCCUGGCAGAUAGGUACGAGCAAAUAUAAAUAAAUGAUGGAAUCGAUCGUUCAAUCAGUAAAGUUGGCUGACUGGGCUUGGCUUGGCAUGGCAUGAACUAGAUCACGACUUAAUCACGUUGAAUGGCCGUCUGAUGCGAAAAUCGAUUGGGAUUUCUAUUGAUCAACCAAAUCACUACUACAGCAGCACUCAUCCCUCCACUCCAACACUCUCUCUCAAACAUCGAUCGAACAAAAAACAAUGCUUUUUGGAAUUUUAUUUUUUGCGAUGAAAGUUGGCUUAUCUUUGCUCUCGUCUCAUCUAUGUUUUGCUCGGUUUGUUUACAUUUUAUUCCGUCUCAUUUCGUUUGCUAUACCCUACUCCGUGCCACAAAGCGAAAGUGUUUCAUACAAGUGUUGGCGUUCUCAGAAACAUUGACCUAGACCCACUUCUAAAUGCAUUGUUUGAGAGAACUUACAUUUUAUUGGAAACCGAUGAUAUAUUUAAAUAAAUGCUCCAUGAAUGUUAUUUGAAAGUCUUCGAUCGUUCAUUUGUUCAAGGAGGAUUUCCAAUUUUCUAACAAAAAAAUUAAAACUAGGAUUCAUUACCUUUAAUAUGAGACAAACACAGAAAGAAUUAUUUUAUAGAUUCUAUAAAUGUUUUUGUUUGAUUUUUUUAGUACCAACAACAAAAAACAAGCAUUUAAAUAAGAGUGUUUGUUAUUAUCAUGCCCAUUGGCUAAUAUUCUUAUAUUUUUCUAAAGAAACAUUUUUAUUGGUUCAAUUCCAAUUUUGUUCAAAAAUAUGUAAAUAAGCUAAAAAAUAUUGAAAAAAAAUAAAAGACAUGGAGAACAUGUGUAUCAAAUAUCAUCGAAUUUAGAAGAGGUAAGGUUCAAAAA